rnacentral:lncRNA from 13 species
UCAUAAUCAGGAAAGACAAUGGCCUGUGUUGAUGCCUAAAGAAAGCACAGGAAUUGAGAAGGUAGAUGAAAUUUAUUCACCAUUAAGAGGUACAAGGAUAGAUAUUUGGUAAUUGUAUAAAAUACAGGAAGAUGAAGAUGUAUGAAUCAAGAGCGGCUUUGGUUUUCCUGGCUAGGGUGAUUUAGUGGUGGCGAUACCAUCCACUCUGGGAGGAAACAAAUAUAGACCAGAUGAGAAGUGGGGGAAUGAUGAGUUAAAAUUAUGACAUGCAAAUAUGAAUUUUCUGUGAAAUGUUAGAGUGAAAUUGUCUAAUAGGUAUCUGGAGAUGUGAGUCUGACUCUUUGGAGAGACAGCUUAAGAUUUUUGGAUUCAUAAUCUCCAAUACACUCAUAAUCUCCAACCCAAGACCAUAAAUGAAGGUGCUGUGCUGCUGGAGAUCAUGAAGGAAGAGAUUGUGGAAUGAGACGAGAUCAAAGGAGGCUUUGCAUCCAGAGGGAUGGAGAAUUCCUCCUCUGUAAAGAGGGAAAGAAGGAAGGAUGAAGACAAAUAAUCAUAAUUUACAUCAUCUCAGCCUAUGUGCCAGAGGGGUGCCUGACCCAGAAGUGACCAUAUUCAAUUAUUCCAGCAACAAUGACUGGACUAUGACCCCAGUACAGACAAAUGAUUGUCAAGAGAGAUUUUUAUCCUCCCGGACUUGAUCCCCUUCUGAUUAGAGAAAUAUCUGCCAAAAAAAAAAAAAAAAAGUCAAAAAAGAAGAAAAAGGAGAACCUAAGGAAUGUGAAUGUGCCAUAGAAAUUUAUCUUGGUGGUAACCCAGCCUCAAACAGACAAACUGUGUGCAAAGCUAUUCCCCAUUUCCUAAAGUAACAAUGCUUCUCUUAAUAGUAUUUAUUUUUCAGGGGCCCCAAUUUCAGAUAUGUUGGAUUUGGCAGUCUUCUGCUCAAGCUGUAUUUUUUCCUACUGAAGUACAGUAAGAACUAAGUAUUAGAGGCUGUAAUUAAAGGUUGGUGAGGCAAAACUGGAAAUGUGCUCAAUGGGCUGCACCCAGUUCCAACUGAUCCAGAUACAUUAAAAGAUUAGCCAAAACUCCCUGUUUAUGAAACAGACAAGUUCUAGACUGAAGAGAAGCUUUUGAGACCCUCUGGAUGCUUUCUCCCAGCUUCUCUGUUUGGGUUGAAUUUUUAUGGGUCUUCAUAAAGGUUACUAAGUUAAAAUAAGGUCAAUAGGGGAAGGCUCUAAUUCAGUAUGUCUAGUAUUACUAGACAUAAGAGCAAAAGACACUAGGAUGUGCACACACAGAGGAAUGGCCUUAUGAGGACACAGGAAGAAGUUACCAUCUGCGAGCCAAUGAGAGAUGCCCCAGGAAGAAGCAAACCUGAUGACACUUUGAUCAUGGACUUCUAGUCUUCAAACUGUGAAACAAUAAAUCUCUGUUGUUUCAACCA